GGCCCUACGGGGCGCAGCAGGCGCGAAAACUUUACAAUGCGAGCAAUCGUGAUAAGGAAACCCUGAGNGCCUGUUAUCACAGGCUGUUCUGGUGUCUAACACACACCAGGAGAAAGGGCGGGGCAAGACCGGUGCCAGCCGCCGCGGUAAUACCGGCUGCUCGAGUGAUAGCCACUUUUACUGGGCUUAAAGCGUUCGUAGCUUGGUCGUUAAGUCUCUGGGGAAAUCUUUUGGCUCAACCAAAAGGCGUCUCAGGGAAACUGGCGACCUAGGAACCGGGAGAGGUAAGACGUACUUCGGGGGUAGGAGUGAAAUCUUGUAAUCCCCGAGGGACGACCGAUGGCGAAGGCAUCUUACCAGAACGGCUUCGACAGUGAGGGACGAAAGCUGGGGGAGCAAACCGGAUUAGAUACCCGGGUAGUCCCAGCCGUAAACGAUGUGCGUUAGGUGUGUCAGCGACCACGAGUCGCUGAGGUGCCGAAGGGAAACCGUGAAACGCACCGCCUGGGAAGUACGGUCGCAAGGCUGAAAUUUAAAGGAAUUGGCGGGGGAGCACCACAACGGGUGGAGCCUGCGGUUUAAUUGGAUUCAACGCCGGA
rnacentral:rRNA from 1 species